rnacentral:rRNA from 1 species
CAGCCGCCGCGGGAAUACGGAGGGUGCAAGCGUUAUCCGGAUUUAUUGGGUUUAAAGGGUCCGUAGGCGGAUCUGUAAGUCAGUGGUGAAAUCUCACAGCUUAACUGUGAAACUGCCAUUGAUACUGCAGGUCUUGAGUAAAUUUGAAGUGGCUGGAAUAAGUAGUGUAGCGGUGAAAUGCAUAGAUAUUACUUAGAACACCAAUUGCGAAGGCAGGUCACUAAGAUUUAACUGACGCUGAUGGACGAAAGCGUGGGGAGCGAACAGGAUUAGAGACCCGAGUAGUCCCUGUCUCUUAUAC